UAAAAAGCCACCAGUGAAAACCCUCAUCUCUAUUGGCGAUGGAGGUGCUAAUCCUCGCCAGUUUGCUAGGAUGGCAUCAGAGGCAAAGUCACGCAAGGUGUUCAUAAAUUCAGCUAUUGAAGUAGCAAGAAAAUUUGGGUUUGAUGGGCUGGAUCUGGACUGGGAAUCUCCUAAGGACCCAAAAGAGAUGGAAGACCUGGGUUAUUUAUUUAAAGAAUGGCGUGAUGCUAUCCAGAAGGAGGCUAAGACCACAAAAAAGCCUCCUCUAUUGCUCACGGCUGCCGUGUACUUUUCCGUCGAGUUCUUAUGGUUCGAAAAGUACCGGAAGUACCCGGUGGCACCGAUAAAGGAAAACUUGGACUGGAUUAAUGCAAUGUGUUAUGAUUAUCAUGGUUAUUGGGACACUACAGUCACAGGGGCCCACGCUGCUUUGUAUGAUUCAAAGAGUAAUAUAAGCACAAGCUAUGGUCUUAAGUCAUGGAUUAGGGGGGCUGGAAUGCCUCGGCACAUGGUUGUUAUGGGCCUGCCAUUGUAUGGGAGGACUUGGAAGCUCAAAGACCCAAAUCUAAACGGAAUCGGGGCACCGGCGGG
rnacentral:misc_RNA from 1 species